rnacentral:rRNA from 1 species
UACGUAGGGGGCUAGCGUUGUCCGGAAUCAUUGGGCGUAAAGAGCGUGUAGGCGGCUCGGUAAGUCCGCUGUGAAAGUCCGGGGCUCAACCCUGGAAUGCCGGUGGAAACUGUCGAGCUAGAGUCCGGAAGAGGCGAGUGGAAUUCCUGGUGUAGCGGUGAAAUGCGCAGAUAUCAGGAGGAACACCAAUGGCGAAGGCAGCUCGCUGGGACGGUACUGACGCUGAGACGCGAAAGCGUGGGGAGCAAACAGG